AUUGAACGCUGGCGGAAUGCUUUACACAUGCAAGUCGAACGGCAGCACGGGUGCUUGCACCUGGUGGCGAGUGGCGAACGGGUGAGUAAUAUAUCGGAACGUAUCCAAUAAUGGGGGAUAACUAAUCGAAAGGUUGGCUAAUACCGCAUACGUCCUACGGGAGAAAGCAGGGGACCUUCGGGCCUUGCGUUAAUGGAGCGGCCGAUAUCUGAUUAGCUAGUAGGUGAGGUAAAGGCUCACCUAGGCGACGAUCAGUAGCUGGUCUGAGAGGACGACCAGCCACACUGGAACUGAGACACGGUCCAGACGCCUACGGGAGGCAGCAGUGGGGAAUUUUGGACAAUGGGCGCAAGCCUGAUCCAGCCAUUCCGCGUGAGUGAAGAAGGCCUUCGGGUUGUAAAGCUCUUUCGCAAGGGAAGAAACGACACAGUCUAAUAAACUGUGUUAAUGACGGUACCUUGAUAAGAAGCACCGGCUAACUACGUGCCAGCAGCCGCCGCCG
rnacentral:rRNA from 1 species